rnacentral:misc_RNA from 1 species
AAAGGCAAGCGAUUUAUAUAGGGACUAUGGGAUUUGCAAGGGAAAUGUUUCCUUGUGGAUUCAGACCUUGUUCUACAAUGUGGGAAGCACACUCACUUGCUAACUAGUCCAAUCAUUCAAUGUUGCUUUAGUCCGUGAGGCAGCUUUAUAUAUUCUGUUUGACAAAAAAAAAGGUUAUGCAUUUUCUUCCUUUAGUUAUUAUUCUUGCUUAGUUACACUUGUAAAACUUUCAUUGCAUACUGAGAAAUUACUUAUUUAAGGGAUUGUCA